AUGAUCAAGGAUGACUAGAUAUUAUUAGCAGAGAAUUUCUCAAGUCCCACACUCAAGCAACUAAUUGGAACGACUCGUGUAAAAAAACUACUUGAAAUGCUAGCUAGGUAGUGACUAGCGAUAGCAAUUCAAUGAACCUACCACGGACGGCGCCACGGCAGGAUCAGUGGCUGCACGUGGCACUGUACUGAUCCUCCAGCCUCAAUGUUGCAGCAUGUUGUCCCGACACGUACUCAAACCUACUCCGCGGGCAGAGUGCAGCAGCACAGGGCGGCCCUAGCGGCGCGACGUUCAUAGCAGUUUGGCUAGCUAGAAGAUGUACAUGACAGGGAAAAGGGCACCAAAGGUUCGAGGGGAAGCCAAAAUAUGGUUUAGAUCAAGAGAAAAGAAUUGGACAAGACAACACCAGUGAGGCAAUGCAUAGUUACUGCUAGAGGAAUUGACUUUGAUAUCAUACAAGGCAUCAUUUGGUUGUAAAAAUGUUUUUGGCACCCCCAAAUUUACCAAUGAUUGCAAUAGAUCAGUUUCGACAUAUACUACUAUUAGAAGAUGAUACAACUUUUAUUAGUGAAGUUGACAUCAAAAUUGGAAGUUGCAAGUCAUUGUAUGGUUCUAUAAAAUGGCUGUUAGUUUGGUUUGAUAGGUACAUCUUCAUCUCUUCUUGGACAUUUUGUUUCUUUGCUUAGUAUAAAAUGUAUUGCAUGGGUUCAUUUUUUUUAUUUUUCCCAAAUAUACUACAGGCCCUCUAUAGGGUCAUUAUUUUU